rnacentral:rRNA from 1 species
AGUGAACGCUGGCGGUAGGCCUAACACAUGCAAGUCGAACGGCAGCACAGUAAGAGCUUGCUCUUACGGGUGGCGAGUGGCGGACGGGUGAGGAAUACAUCGGAAUCUACUUUUUCGUGGGGGAUAACGUAGGGAAACUUACGCUAAUACCGCAUACGACCUACGGGUGAAAGCAGGGGAUCUUCGGACCUUGCGCGAUUGAAUGAGCCGAUGUCGGAUUAGCUAGUUGGCGGGGUAAAGGCCCACCAAGGCGACGAUCCGUAGCUGGUCUGAGAGGAUGAUCAGCCACACUGGAACUGAGACACGGUCCCGACUCCUACGGGAGCCAGCAGUGGGGAAUAUUGGACAAUGGGCGCAAGCCUGAUCCAGCCAUACCGCGUGGGUGAAGAAGGCCUUCGGGUUGUAAAGCCCUUUUGUUGGGAAAGAAAAGCAGCAGGUUAAUACCCCGCUGUCCUGACGGUACCCAAAGAAUAAGCACCGGCUAACUUCGUG